UACGUAGGGCGCGAGCGUUGUCCGGAUUUACUGGGCGUAAAGGGCUCGUAGGCGGUUCGUCGCGUCGGUCGUGGAAAUGCGCAGCUUAACUUGGCACGUGCGGCUGAGACGGGCAGGCUCGAGGGCGGUAGGGGCAAGCGGAAUUCCUGGUGUAGCGGUGAAAUGCGCAGAUAUCAGGAGGAACACCGAUGGCGAAGGCAGCUUGCUGGGCCGUUCCUGACGCUGAGGAGCGAAAGCGUGGGUCGCGAACAGG
rnacentral:misc_RNA from 1 species